rnacentral:rRNA from 1 species
GAGUUUGAUCGUGGCUCAGAUUGAACGCUAGCGGGAUGCCUUACACAUGCAAGUCGAACGGCAGCACGGACUUCGGUCUGGUGGCGAGUGGCGAACGGGUGAGUAAUGUAUCGGAACGUGCCUAGUAGCGGGGGGAUAACUACGCGAAAGCGUAGCUAAUACCGCAUACGCCCUACGGGGAAAGCAGGGGAUCGCAAGACCUUGCACUAUUAGAGCGGCCGAUAUCGGAUUAGCUAGUUGGUGGGGUAACGGGCUCACCAAGGCGACGAUCCGUAGCUGGUUUGAGAGGACGACCAGCCACACUGGGAUUGAGACACGGCCCAGACUCCUACGGGAGGCAGCAGUGGGGAAUUUUGGACAAUGGGGGAAACCCUGAUCCAGCCAUCCCGCGUGUGCGAUGAAGGCCUCGG